GUCCAAAAACCUGCGCCAAAACGGAAACGGCGCUGGGGGGGCCGCCCCACAACUUAUGGGGCAGAGCAGCACUUAGGGGGCAGCCCCACACUUAUGGGUCUGACCCACACUUAUGGGGCAGCCCCACAACUUAUGGGGCAGAGCUACUUAGGGGGCGGCCCCACAACUUAUGGGGCAGAGCAGCACUUAGGGGGCAGCCCCACAACUUAUGGGGCAGAGCUACUUAUGGGGCAGCCCCACAACUUACAGGGCUGACCUACUUAGGGGGCAGCCCCACAACUUAUGGGGCAGAGCAGCACUUAGGGGGCAGGCUUCACUUGUGGGGCAGAGGCACUUAUGGGGCAGCCCCACACAUAUGGGUCUGACCCACACUUAUGGGGCAGCCCCACACUUAGGGGGCAGGCUUCACUUAUGGGUCCCACCCCACACUUAUGGGGCAGAGCUCCUUAUGGGGCAGCCCCACAACUUAUGGGGCAGAGCUACUUAUGGGGCAGCCCCACACUUAUGGGGCAGGCUUCACUUAUGGGUCCCACCCCACACUUAUGGGGCAGAGCUCCUUAUGGGGCAGCCCCACACUUAUGGGGUAGACUUCACUUAUGGGUCCCACCCCACACUUAUGGGGCAGAGCUACUUAGGGGGCAGCCCCACACUUAUGGGUCCCACCCCACACUUGUGGGUCCUACCCUACAUCUAUGGGUCCCACCCCACACUUGUGAGUCCCGCCCCACAUCUAUGGGUCCCAUCCCAACUUAUGGGUCCCACCCCACACUUAUGGGCCAGCCCCACACUUAGGGGGCAGAGCUACUUAUGGGGCAGCCCCACACUUAUGGGUCCCACCCCACACUUGUGAGUCCCGCCCCACACUUAUGCGUCCCGCCCCACAUCUAUGGGUCCCAUCCCACAUCUAUGGGUC
rnacentral:lncRNA from 1 species